rnacentral:rRNA from 1 species
UUACCGAGUUGAUUCGGGCUCCGGCCCGAUCCUCCCACCCUUUGUGUACCUACCUCUGUUGCUUUGGCGGGCCGCGGUCCUCCGCGGCCGCCCCCCUCCCCGGGGGGGUGGCCAGCGCCCGCCAGAGGACCAUCAAACUCCAGUCAGUAAACGAUGCAGUCUGAAAAACAUUUAAUAAACUAAAACUUUCAACAACGGAUCUCUUGGUUCUGGCAUCGAUGAAGAACGCAGCGAAAUGCGAUAAGUAAUGUGAAUUGCAGAAUUCAGUGAAUCAUCGAAUCUUUGAACGCACAUUGCGCCCUUUGGUAUUCCGAAGGGCAUGCCUGUUCGAGCGUCAUUACAACCCUCAAGCUCUGCUUGGUAUUGGGCACCGUCCUUUGCGGGCGCGCCUCAAAGACCUCGGCGGUGGCGUCUUGCCUCAAGCGUAGUAGAACAUACAUCUCGCUUCGGAGCGCAGGGCGUCGCCCGCCGGACGAACCUUCUGAACUUUUCUCAAGGUUGACCUCGGAUCAGGUAGGGAUACCCGCUGAACUUAAGCAUAUCA